rnacentral:rRNA from 1 species
UCCCAGACUCCUACGGGAGGCAGCAGUGAGGAAUAUUGGUCAAUGGGCGGGAGCCUGAACCAGCCAAGUCGCGUGAGGGAAGACGGUCCUAUGGAUUGUAAACCUCUUUUGUCGGGGAGCAAAGAGGCCUCGUGAGGUCAAAAGCGAGAGUACCCGAAGAAAAAGCAUCGGCUAACUCCGUGCCAGCAGCCGCGGUAAUACGGAGGAUGCGAGCGUUAUCCGGAUUUAUUGGGUUUAAAGGGUGCGUAGGCGGGACGGUAAGUCAGCGGUAAAAAUGCGGAGCUCAACUCCGUCGAGCCGUUGAAACUGGCAGACUUGAGUUGGCGAGAAGUACGCGGAAUGCGCGGUGUAGCGGUGAAAUGCAUAGAUAUCGCGCAGAACUCCGAUUGCGAAGGCAGCGUACCGGCGCCAGACUGACGCUGAGGCACGAAAGCGUGGGGAUCGAACAGGAUUAGAUACCCCCGUA